AAUGGGGGGUACUGGGAACACUGGGAGUGGGGGGAAUGGAGGGGUACUGGGAACACUGGGAAUGGGGGGCCAAUGGGAAUGGGGAGGAACUGGGAUUGGGAGGAUACUGGGAACACUGGGAAUGGGGGUGAACUGUAAAUGGGGGGGCACCGGGAAUGGGGGGGCACUGGGAACACUGGGAAUUGGGGGGAACUGGAACGGGUUACUGGGAAGGGGGGUACUGUAAAUGGGGGGGCACUGGGAAAGGGGGGGGACUGGGAACGGGGGGGGACUGGGAACACUGGGAGUGGGGUGGCACUGGGAAUAGGACCAGUGGCGGCCGCUUCGCCUUUAAGGGCUGCCCCCAGUGCCCCCAGUGCUCCCAGUGCCCCCAGUGUCACUGUCCCAGUGCUCCCAGUGCCACCACUGUUCUCGUCCCAGUGUCACCAGUGUCCCCAGUACACCCAGGGCCGCUGUCCCAGUGCUCCCAGUACCCCCAGUGUCCCCAUCCCAGCGUCCCCAGUGUCUCCAGUACCCCCAGUGUCUCCCAGUGCUCCCAGUACCCCCGGUGUCCCCGUCCCACUGCCAGCAGCGUCCCCAUCCCAGUGCUCCCAGUGGCCCCAGUUGUCCCCAUCGCAGUGCUCCCAGUGCCACCACUGCCCCCAGUACCCCCAUCCCUAUGCGCCCAGCGUCCCCAUUCCAGUGUCCCCCAUUUUACCACCUCCCAGUGCCCCCAGUGUCCCCAUCCCAGUGCUCCCAGUGCCCCCUAUGUCACCAUCCCAGUGCCCCCAGUCUCCUCAUCUCAGUGUUCCCAUUGCUUCCAGUGGCCCCCCACCCCAUUCCAGUGUCUCCCAGUUGCCCCCCGAGCUCCCAGUGCCCCAUCCCCGUGCCCCCAGUGUUCCCAGUGUCCCCACCCCAGCACCUCCCAGUGUUCCCAAUAGCCCCAGUUCCCCAUCCCAGUGCCUCCCAGUGUUCCCAGUAGCCCCAGUUUCCGAACCCAGCGCCUCCCUGGCCUCCAUUCCAGUGUCCCCCAGUACCUCCCAGUCCCCCCCGGUACCUCCCAGUCCCCCCGGGCUCCCUUCCCAGUGCUCCCAGCACCCCCCAGGGCACCAGUCCCCAGUGCUCCCAUGCCCUCCCAGUAGCUCCCAGUUCACUCCGGGGGGCUGUGAGCGUGCAAGGGGAGAGCACGAGCGUGCAGAGGGUGAGCGUGCAAGGGGUGAGCAUGCAAGGGGCAAGUGUGCAAGGGGUGAGCGUGCAAGGGGCGAGUGUGCACGGGGCAAGCGUGCAAACGAACGUGCGAGUGUGGUGUGCAGAUGUGAGCGUGCGUGGGGCUGAGCGUGCAAACGAGUGUGCACAGNNNN
rnacentral:lncRNA from 1 species